rnacentral:lncRNA from 11 species
AAAGCCAAGGUCUCUCCACGCGUCUCCCCAAAGCUUAAGAGGAAAGGGAAGAAAGAUGAUGGUUCCAGGGAUGUAACUCAGUCCCCAAGAUCUUUUGAUCAGCAGGUUGCUUCAGAGUACCAGGAUGAACUGAUAUCGCUUCUGAGGAGCCAACAGAGGGAAAUUGCUGAACUGAGACAGAACCAAAUGGAGCUAAUGCAGAGGUUAAGCGAUCACUUGGAUGCUGUGCAGAGCUCCCUUAUGGGCCACAUAGAGCGAGUGGCAGAUUCCCAGCAAGAGCAGGAACAGCGGAGGCUGGACCAGGCCUUAGCUGAAGGGCAGCAGCGCGGUGGGCAACUGCAGGAGCAUCUCUUCCAACAACUUUCCCAGUCCCUCUCCACGGCUGCUUGCAAUCGGCUGGAAAGAUGCAUCCGUGAAGAGAUGAAGAAGGUGGUGCCGCCCUGCAUUUCCAAGACCUUGGAUCCUGUCACUGGGCAGCUGAGUAACACCAUUGCAAACAAGCUGACUGCCAUUGAGGGGACAUUGAAGGAGAAUGUCACCAAACUAGUGAAAUCAAAGGUAACAAAUGGGGUUGAAUUGCGGCAAACAAGUUCCCUUUGUCUGUUAGCUUGGAAAUAGGAGAAAUCUAG